rnacentral:rRNA from 1 species
UACGUAGGUGGCGCGCGUUGUCCGGAUUUACUGGGCGUAAAGAGCGCGCAGGCGGUCGUACAAGUCGCGUGUGAAAGCCCCCGGCUCAACUGGGGAGGGUCACGCGAUACUGUUCGACUCGAAGGCAGGAGAGGGAAGCGGAAUUCCCGGUGUAGUGGUGAAAUGCGUAGAUAUCGGGAGGAACACCAGUGGCGAAGGCGGCUUCCUGGCCUGUUCUUGACGCUGAGGCGCGAAAGCUAGGGUAGCAAACGGG